rnacentral:rRNA from 1 species
UAGAACGCUGAAGGAGGAGCUUGCUUCUCUGGAUGAGUUGCGAACGGGUGAGUAACGCGUAGGUAACCUGCCUGGUAGCGGGGGAUAACUAUUGGAAACGAUAGCUAAUACCGCAUAAGAGUAGAUGUUGCAUGACAUUUGCUUAAAAGGUGCAAUUGCAUCACUACCAGAUGGACCUGCGUUGUAUUAGCUAGUUGGUGAGGUAACGGCUCACCAAGGCAACGAUACAUAGCCGACCUGAGAGGGUGAUCGGCCACACUGGGACUGAGACACGGCCCAGACUCCUACGGGAGGCAGCAGUAGGGAAUCUUCGGCAAUGGACGGAAGUCUGACCGGGCAACGCCGCGUGAGUGAAGAAGGUUUUCGGAUCGUAAAGCUCUGUUGUAAGAGAAGAACGAGUGUGAGAGUGGAAAGUUCACACUGUGACGGUAUCUUACCAGAAAGGGACGGCUAACUACGUGCCAGCAGCCGCGGUAAUACGUAGGUCCCGAGCGUUGUCCGGAUUUAUUGGGCGUAAAGCGAGCGCAGGCGGUUAGAUAAGUCUGAAGUUAAAGGCUGUGGCUUAACCAUAGUACGCUUUGGAAACUGUUUAACUUGAGUGCAAGAGGGGAGAGUGGAAUUCCAUGUGUAGCGGUGAAAUGCGUAGAUAUAUGGAGGAACACCGGUGGCGAAAGCGGCUCUCUGGCUUGUAACUGACGCUGAGGCUCGAAAGCGUGGGGAGCAAACAGGAUU